rnacentral:rRNA from 1 species
CUCCGGGAACCGGGGCUAAUACCGGAUGCUUGAUUGAACCGCAUGGUUCAAUCAUAAAAGGUGGCUUUUAGCUACCACUUACAGAUGGACCCGCGGCGCAUUAGCUAGUUGGUGAGGUAACGGCUCACCAAGGCGACGAUGCGUAGCCGACCUGAGAGGGUGAUCGGCCACACUGGGACUGAAACACGGCCCAGACUCCUACGGGAGGCAGCAGUAGGGAAUCUUCCGCAAUGGACGAAAGUCUGACGGAACAACGCCGCGUGAGUGAUGAAGGUUUUCGGAUCGUAAAACUCUGUUGUUAGGGAAGAACAAGUACCGUUCGAAUAGGGCGGUACCUUGACGGUACCUAACCAGAAAGCCACGGCUAACUACGUGCCAGCAGCCGCGGUAAUACGUAGGUGGCAAGCGUUGUCCGGAAUUAUUGGGCGUAAAGCGCGCGCAGGCGGUUUCUUAAGUCUGAUGUGAAAGCCCCCGGCUCAACCGGGGAGGGUCAUUGGAAACUGGGGAACUUGAGUGCAGAAGAAGAGAGUGGAAUUCCACGUGUAGCGGUGAAAUGCGUAGAGAUGUGGAGGAACACCAGUGGCGAAGGCGACUCUCUGGUCUGUAACUGACGCUGAGGCGCGAAAGCGUGGGGAGCGAACAGGAUUAGAUACCCUGGUAGUCCACGCCGUAAACGAUGAGUGCUAAGUGUUAGAGGGUUUCCGCCCUUUAGUGCUGCAGCAAACGCAUUAAGCACUCCGCCUGGGGAGUACGGUCGCAAGACUGAAACUCAAAGGAAUUGACGGGGGCCCGCACAAGCGGUGGAGCAUGUGGUUUAAUUCGAAGCAACGCGAAGAACCUUACCAGGUCUUGACAUCCUCUGACAACCCUAGAGAUAGGGCUUCCCCUUCGGGGGCAGAGUGACAGGUGGUGCAUGGUUGUCGUCAGCUCGUGUCGUGAGAUGUUGGGUUAAGUCCCGCAACGAGCGCAACCCUUGAUCUUAGUUGCCAGCAUUCAGUUGGGCACUCUAAGGUGACUGCCGGUGACAAACCGGAGGAAGGUGGGGAUGACGUCAAAUCAUCAUGCCCCUUAUGACCUGGGCUACACACGUGCUACAAUGGGCAGAACAAAGGGCAGCGAAGCCGCGAGGCUAAGCCAAUCCCACAAAUCUGUUCUCAGUUCGGAUCGCAGUCU